GGUUAGUCAGUUAGUUUAGCAUUAGUGUCGCCCUCUCCUAGUGAGAAAGAACACAGCCUUACCUUCUGUUGUGAAAUCCAAACAACCAGGAAAAGAGGAAGCAGGUUUGGAAUUUCAAACCUGACCUAACCUUGCACAACUGAACUUAAUGAGCUGUGGAAACUGUACUGAACUGACAGAUAGGGUUUUUCUGUGUAGCCCUAGCUGACCUGGAACUCCCUCUGCCUCAAGAGUGCUGGGAUUAAAGGCAUGUGCCACCACUACCUGGGUAAUUUAUUCUUACACCUUGUGCUGCCUAGUUUUAUGUCAACUUGACACAAGCCAGAGUUGUUUGAAAGGAGGGAACUCCAAUUGAGGAUAUGCCUUCGUACAAUCGAGCUAUCAGGCAUUUUCUUAGUUAGUGACGGCACGAGGAGCCAGCCAGUGAGCAGCACCCCUCCGCAGCCUCUGCAUUGGCUCCUGCUUUCAGGUUCCUGCCCUGCUUGAGUUCCAGCUCUUUCUUCCCUCCGUGGGACUUGUUACCUCAAAGUGUUAAAAUAAAACAUGAACAUCAGUACAAAGUCCCAAUUUAUUUCUAAUAUCAGAGAUCAGAGCUCUACUCUUGCCUGAUGCGUCUAAAACAAAAAGGGGGAACUGUAGAGAGCUGCGGAAUGCUAUGCCUUAAAGAUGGAGCUGGUUUCCGCCUUCCACCUUCCCGAUGGUCCCUAGAUGGCACAGUGGCACACACCUGUAACCCCAGCACUCCGGGAGGCAGAGGAAGGUGAAUCUCUCUGAGUUUAAGGCCAGCCUGGUCUACAAAGCAAGUCUGGGACAGCCAAGGAUACACAGAGAAACUCUGUCUUAAAAAACCAAAAUAAAUAAACAAACAAAUACAUAAUAAUAAAAAUUUAAAAAACAAAAAUAAAGUAGAAUAAAAGUAAAAA